GCGUCCUGUAGUGCAAUGGAUAGCGCGUUGGACUUCUAACCCAAUGGUCGUGGGUUCGAGUUCCACCAGGAGUG